ensembl:lncRNA
GCUCAUCUUCCGUUGAUGUAGUUGGCAACUACGGUCGUACUGACAUUUACAGCAAUAAGCUAAUAAUUAUUUCAUAUUAUAUACAACUCUUGGUUUUGUUUGUUAUUGCUGCGACCGUCAACGGCUGUCAUCCCAUCCUGGCCAAAAGAGGACGAAGGUUAAGGUUACUGACUGCAAGUCAUCGGCCUACAACUUAGAGGUUUUGUUUGUUAUUGCUACGACCUUCAACGACUGCUGUCAUCCCAUCCUGGCCAAAAGAGGACGAAGGUUAAGGUUACUGACUGCAAGUCAUCGGCCUACAACUUAGAGGUUUUGUUUGUUAUUGCUACGACCUUCAACGACUGCUGUCAUCCCAUCCUGGCCAAAAGAGGACGAAGGAUUCUGUGCACUUUGUAAUGGAGAAACACACUUUCGUGAAGUUGAGAGACAUGGGCAUCUACUGUGAAUUAGGAGUAGCUGAAGAGGAUUAUGUUUGCAUCAAGCAUGAAGAUUUGCAUGAUUACUAUCCUCUUCCAGCUUACAGAGUUAAUCACCUUUCACUUAUUGCUCUCCACCAUUCAUUUUUAGAGACGGUUUAAACCAGGGAAGCAUAGAAAUGAAAUUUCUUGGCCGAAAUCGAAAAAUUGUAAAGUUAUUGAGGAGUCGUGUCUGCAGGAGCUACUGAUAAUGCUUACUUACAAUUGUUAUCUUCCCUUGUUUAUUGUUAAUCAUUUGUAAAUAAAUAUUAAACAUUAAGUAAAUUUAGUAAAUUAGUUUGGGGGAUUCACACAGUCAUUUGAUCUGCUGUUGGGUAAGGAGAGUGCAAUAAUAAUAAUGUAUUUGAUUUAUUUGUUAUUUGUUUAUUGUUUGUGUAUUUGUUUAUUGUUUGUGUUGAUAUGGAUCCUCCUGGGUCUGAAAUAAAGAAUACUUUAAUAUUGA